rnacentral:rRNA from 1 species
GACGAACGCUGGCGGCGUGCCUAACACAUGCAAGUCGAACGGAGAAUCAGCAAUGAUUCUUAGUGGCGAACGGGUGAGUAACGCGUAGACAACCUGCCUUCUAGAUGGGGACAACACUGCGAAAGUGGUGCUAAUACCGAAUGUUGUAAUAAGCCUGCAUGGGCUUGAUACUAAAAGUGGCCUCUGACAUAAGCUACCACUCGAAGAUGGGUCUGCGUCUGAUUAGCUAGUUGGUGAGGUAAUGACUCACCAAGGCGAUGAUCAGUAGCCGGUCUGAGAGGAUGAACGGCCACACUGGGACUGAGACACGGCCCAGACUCCUACGGGAGGCAGCAGUGGGGAAUCUUCCGCAAUGGACGAAAAUCUGACGGAGCAACGCCGCGUGAGUGAAGAAGGUUUUCGGAUCGUAAAGCUCUGUCUUUGAGGACGAAUGUGUCUAAUGUGAAUAAUGUUAGAUAAUGACGGUACUCGAGGAGGAAGCCACGGCUAACUACGUGCCAGCAGCCGCCGUAAGAC